GAUAAGACCUGUGUUAAUCUAAAACACAUCUUCUGAAUGCAACCCAGAUAC
rnacentral:tRNA from 1 species